UACGAAGGGUGCAAGCGUUGCUCGGAAUUAUUGGGCGUAAAGCGCACGUAGGCGGCUUAGCAAGUCGGAUGUGAAAUCCCUCGGCUCAACCAAGGAAGUGCAUCCGAAACUGCUGCGCUUGAGUACGAAAGAGGAUCGCGGAAUUCCCGGUGUAGAGGUGAAAUUCGUAGAUAUCGGGAGGAACACCAGUGGCGAAGGCGGCGAUCUGGGUCGAUACUGACGCUGAGGUGCGAAAGCGUGGGGAGCAAACAGG
rnacentral:rRNA from 1 species